GUUUGAUUCUGGCUCAGGAUGAACGCUGGCGGCAUGCCUAAUACAUGCAAGUCGAACGGAGUGAAGCCUUCGGGUUUCAUUCAGUGGCGAACGGGUGAGUAAUACGCAGGGAACCUGGCCAUGGCAGGGGGAUACACUCUGGAAACGGAGCAUAAGACCCCAUAGGCAGUAAGGCGGCAUCGCCUUACUGUUAAAGAAAGCUGAAAGGCUUUGGCGAUGGAUGGACCUGCGGUGCAUUAGCUUGUUGGUGAGGCAACAGCUUACCAAGGCGAUGAUGCAUAGCCGGCCUGAGAGGGCGGACGGCCACACUGGGACUGAGACACGGCCCAGACUCCUGCGGGAGGCAGCAGUAGGGAAUUUUCGUCAAUGGGCGCAAGCCUGAACGAGCAAUGCCGCGUGAGUGAGGAAGGUCUUCGGACUGUAAAGCUCUGUUGCCGGGGAAAAAGGGGAAAUGCAGGAAAUGGCAUUUCAUGGAUGGUACCCGGCCAGAAAGCCACGGCUAACUACGUGCCAGCAGCCGCGGUAAUACGUAGGUGGCGAGCGUUAUCCGGAAUGAUUGGGCGUAAAGGGUGCGCAGGCGGUCUGUUAAGUCUGAAGGCAAAGGGAUGAGCUCAACUCAUUUAUGAUUCAGAAACUGGCAGACUUGAGGACAGGAGAGGGCGGUGGAACUCCAUGUGUAGCGGUAAAAUGCGCAGAGAUAUGGAAGAACACCAGUGGCGAAGGCGGCCGCCUGGCCUGUGACUGACGCUGAGGCACGAAAGCGUGGGGAGCAAAUAGGAUUAGAUACCCUAGUAGUCCACGCCGUAAACGAUGAGGAGCAGGUGUUGGGAGUGAAAUCUCAGUGCCGAAGCCAACGCAGUGACUCCUCCGCCUGGGGAGUAUGCACGCAAGUGUGAAACUCAAAGGAAUUGACGGGGGCCCGCACAAGCGGUGGAGUAUGUGGUUUAACUCGAAGCAACGCGAAGAACCUUACCAGGUUUUGACAUCGGAUGCGAAGGCGCAGAGAUGCGCUGGAGGCUAUCAUCCAGACAGGUGGUGCAUGGUUGUCGUCAGCUCGUGUCGUGAGAUGUUCAGUUAAGUCUGGCAACGAGCGCAACCCCCGUGGUAUGUUACUAACGCAUUUGGGCGAGGACUCAUAUCAGACUGCCGGUGACAAACCGGAGGAAGGCGGGGAUGACGUCAAAUCAUCAUGCCCCUUAUGACCUGGGCUACACACGUACUACAAUGGCGUCUACAGAGGGAAGCGACCCUGAGAAGGGAAGCGAAACCGGAAAAGGGCGUCCCGGUUCGGAUUGAAGUCUGCAACCCGACUUCAUGAAGAUGGAAUCGCUAGUAAUCGCGGAUCAGCAUGCCGCGGUGAAUACGUUCCCGGGCCUUGUACACACCGCCCGUCAAACCAUGGAAGCCGGCAACGCCCGAAGCCGGUGGCAUAACCUUUUAGGAGUGAGCCGUCGAAGGCGGGGCCGAUGACUGGGGUUAAGUCGUAACAAGGUAUCC
rnacentral:rRNA from 1 species